rnacentral:rRNA from 1 species
CUACGGGAGGCUGCAGUGGGGAAUAUUGCACAAUGGGCGAAAGCCUGAUGCAGCCAUGCCGCGUGUGUGAAGAAGGCCCUAGGGUUGUAAAGCACUUUCAGCGAGGAGGAAAGGGUGCAGGUUAAUACCCUGUAUCUGUGACGUUACUCGCAGAAGAAGCACCGGCUAACUCCGUGCCAGCAGCCGCGGUGAAUACGGAGGGUGCGAGCGUUAAUCGGAAUUACUGGGCGUAAAGCGUACGCAGGCGGUUGGUUAAGCGAGAUGUGAAAUCCCCGGGCUCAACCUGGGAACUGCAUUUCGAACCGGCCAACUAGAGUAUGAGAGAGGGUGGUAGAAUUUCAGGUGUAGCGGUGAAAUGCGUAGAUAUCUGAAGGAAUACCGAUGGCGAAGGCAGCCACCUGGUUCAAUACUGACGCUCAUGUACGAAAGCGUGGGGAGCAAACAGGAUUAGAUACCCUAGUAGUC